rnacentral:rRNA from 6 species
GGUUGAUCCUGCCAGU